rnacentral:rRNA from 1 species
CCUACGGGGGUCAGCAGUGAGGAAUAUUGGUCAAUGGUCGGGAGACUGAACCAGCCAAGCCGCGUGAGGGAGGAAGGUACAGAGUAUCGUAAACCUCUUUUGUCAGGGAACAAAGACUGGGACGCGUCCCCGGAUGAGUGUACCUGAAGAAAAAGCAUCGGCUAACUCCGUGCCAGCAGCCGCGGUAAUACGGAGGAUGCGAGCGUUAUCCGGAUUUAUGGGGUGUAAGGGGUGCGCGGGCGGUCUGUUAAGUCAGCGGUCAAAGCCCGGGGCUCAACCCCGGCCCGCCGUUGAAACUGGCAGUCUCGAGUUGGAGAGAAGUAUGCGGAAUGCGCGGUGUAGCGGUGAAAUGCAUAGAUAUCGCGCAGAACUCCGAUUGCGAAGGCAGCAUGCCGGCUCCACACUGACGCUGAGGCACGAAAGCGUGGGUAUCGAACAGGAUUAGAUACCCUAGUAGUC